UUAAUAAUUUUCAAUUUAAAUUCAUAAUUCAUGAUGCUACACGUGCUAUUCUUUUAUCCCACAAGAUUUUGGUCUCUAUGCUGCUAAUGUUUCUUUGACAUGGCCAGUGUCAGAUGAUAUGGUGAAGUUAAUUUUUAUUUUUUUGAAACUUGAUUUGUUUUUUGAAUCGAUAGGUCAAAACAGGUGAUUCGUAUCAGAGUUGUUGUGUUAUUGUUGAGAACAUGCAGAGAUGUGUCUAUGCAGUUCCAAGCCAUCCUUUGCAUCGUACUGAAGUGAUGAUGAGUCUCGAUAGAGAUGUCCAGGAGUCUCGCAUUUCUUCUACAGAUUUCUAUAAAAAGUUGCAUGAUGUGGUGAAUGAUGUUAAGAAUGAGAUAGCACAACUUCUCGUGAAUUUAGGAGUUUCCAACUUUAGCAUGACGCCUGUUAAGAGGAAAGAUGCAUUUGAACGAUCUGAAAUACCUACAGGUGAAAAUUAUUCAUUCAAUCUACAAAUUAAACAGAUCCUGCAUAUUCACCCACCCAAAGAGGCAACGAUCCCUGAUCUUCUGUGCUUUUAAGGCUGCCGGAUCUAUCAUUGGCCUAAUUUUGAUCAACUCUUUCUCUAUUGAUGAGAAGGAAAAGAAUGAAAAACAUUGAAAGAAACAAAUGGAGAGCUUGGAGAAACAUCAAGAGAGAAAAAGAAAUUUAGUUAACUUUUAACGUUUAGCAUGAAAUUUCACGCUUAGCGUCAAUGUUGCGUAGAGUGAUUUAAUUUCUCAUGUUUUGCACAAAAUUCCAUGUUCAACACUAAAGUGUUGAUCUAUCUUAAUGAGAAAAGACAAAAGGGUUAUGACUUAAAAUUGGGGUAAAUUUGAAGAUAACAACAUUAAGAAACAUUUCUCAGAGUGCGUAUAGCGACCAUAGAAUUCUCAUGAUUUCCAGAUCAAGAUUUUUCCUUUCUUUACCAUUUUUGUUGUGUUUCAUGUUUGUGUGUAAUUAAGUUUACCCUUGUUGGGGGUUUGGUGUAAC